rnacentral:rRNA from 1 species
UACGUAGGGGGCGAGCGUUGCCCGGAAUCAUUGGGCGUAAAGCGCGUGUAGGCGGUCCGAUAAGUUCGCUGUGAAAGUCGGGGGCUUAACCCUCGGAUGCCGGUGAAUACUGUCGGGCUUGAGUACGGAAGAGGCGAGUGGAAUUCCUGGUGUAGCGGUGAAAUGCGCAGAUAUCAGGAGGAACACCAAUUGCGAAGGCAGCUCGCUGGGACGUUACUGACGCUGAGACGCGAAAGCGUGGGGAGCAAACAGG